rnacentral:rRNA from 1 species
UACGUAGGGUGCAAGCGUUGUCCGGAAUUAUUGGGCGUAAAGAGCUCGUAGGCGGUCUGUCACGUCGGCUGUGAAAUCCCGAGGCUCAACCCCGAGCCUGCUUCCGAUACGGGCAGACUAGAGGUAUGCAGGGGAGAAUGGAAUUCCUGGUGUAGCGGUGAAAUGCGCAGAUAUCAGGAGGAACACCGGUGGCGAAGGCGGUUCUCUGGGCAUUACCUGACGCUGAGGAGCGAAAGUGUGGGGAGCGAACAGG